rnacentral:lncRNA from 1 species
GAAGGAGCGAAGAUGGCGGAGUGAGGCGUGCCCCGGGCAGCUGGCCUGCGGGCCCGGGGCAGGCCUCCCGUGAGAAGCGGAGUACUUGUGCUGGACCGUGUGAGGAACCAUAUCACACAAGAUGAAUAUUUUCCUGACCUUAGGUGCUUUUAUAUUCAGCUCAACAUUCUGAACUCAGGACUUGGCACGUAAGUAGAUAGAGAUAAUCAUCCCAAGUCCUGUUGUAGCGGCUUGAAAGGCUCCAUAGAAGCGACAUACUAAACUGUUAAGAGCAACAGAAGAUGAAGAUAAAAAUGAGUACAAGCCAGCUACCAUGGCUCACCUUUAUGCCCAGCUCUUGGGACCUGGGGAACUGAGGAAUUCCUAUGUGGACUGCUCAGUGAGGCGUCCUGGUUCUUCCAUCCUGUUACUUUCCCCAGUGAGAUGCAGAUGUCUUUCGACAGAUUACCUCCAUGGUUUAGGAUGCAGAGACUGCCUUUCUUUUACGUCAGACUCAACACAGGAAAGCCGUGAGGAUGCAGCCGUCCUGUUGACUUCAGCAAGAAAACAAACCAUGGACUUGGGUCUUCUGCAGCUUUUGAAUUGGAAAGACGGUGUUUGCAAGUAGAAGGAAGAUGCUGAAUUUGAAACAAGUGCUUAGGUUCUGUGGCGUGAGUUGUUUUCUUUUUAAAAGAUCCAAACAAGAAGACUGAACAAAUACCAAGUGUGGGUGACUUCAGGUUUUUUUUUUAAUGUCUUCCAAUUUUAACACUAUUAUAAGCACAGUUGACCGCAAUUGAGCCAAAUUCAUGGUCUACCGUCCCCGAACAGGCAGGAACUGGCCUGAGUGUCAUAAACAGGCGCCACCAUCAGUGUGAAGUUCAGUGCUGACUGAGGACCCGGCAAGGCCCUGCAGCAAGGUGGUUUUGUAGGAUACAGAAGUUCAGACUCAGGCUGUGCUGUGGCUCUGUUUACAACUGCAGAGCUGGAGUUGUUCUUCAGAUGAGUCGGUCAAAAUGUGUCACUUGCCUGAAACUUGAUUCCUGAGGAACAGGAGAAAACUUUCUUCUUCCAAAAAAUAUAUUUAUUUGGAUAAAUGAAUAUUGGUUUGUUAUAAUAGUGAAAGGAACAGAAGUGUAAUCUACUGGCAGAACAUUUACCUGAGAAAAUGGGUUUAAUUGCAGCACUACCAAAAAAAACCUCAUGGUGGUAACAUAAGAAUUUCUUGACUUUGAAAUGCAAGUUACAAAAUGAUUUUGACAAAUGAGAAGUAUUUAUAAUGUCUGAAAGGCCUAAAUAGAUUUCAAAUAAAACUGUUUCACUGGA